rnacentral:lncRNA from 1 species
GAAAAUUUGUGAUUUUUUUUUUUUAAUCCAUGAUCGAAUUUUUUUUUGUAAUCCAUGAUAGAAUUUUUUUAAAAUUUGUGAUUUUUUUUUUAAUCCAUGAUCGAUUUUUUUGAAAAUUUGUUUUUUUUUUUUUAAUCCAUAUUAUUCAAAGGGAAAACGAGAGAGAUGAUGAUUCUGAGGCCACCCUAUCCCAACCAUAUUAUUCACAUAUCGAGUCCCAACAGCAACAGUGUAUGGAUGAGCACGAAAUACUGUAAAUUAAAUGCUGAAUGGUGGUUCAUGC